rnacentral:lncRNA from 1 species
AGGAGAAGAAAGUAAAGAGCACCAAAGUGGAAGCAAAAGUUAAAAAGGAAGUGAAGGAUGGAAAAGGAGAAGCAAAGAUGCCUGAGAAGGUCAAGCAGACAGAAACUAAAACAACAGAAGUUGGGUUAAUAAAGGCCAAACCGAAAGUUAAGGAGGAGAAAGCACUUCAGACUGUAACUAAAUCGGAAAAGAAAGAUCAAUAUGCAUUCUGUCGCUAUGUGAUUGACAUGUUUGCGCAAGGGGAUUUUUAUCCAGGACAUAAGGGAAUGGUAUCACCUCGUCUUCUUCUAGAACAUAGUCCAAGAAAGAAAACAGCAGCUAUUGAAGAAGAGAAGUCUAUUGUGGUAGCUAAGGAAGUGAAAAAAAGAAAGGAUGAAAAGAAAAGGACUGAUAUAAAGAGGUCUGUUACUGAAACUAAGAAGAAAGAAAAAGAAGGAAAAAAAGAGAAAGCUCAUGAGAAGACAGCUGUCCCUGAAAUUAAAAAAGCAGAUAAAAAAGAAGCUGCUGUGUCCAAAGAACUCAAAAAGCCAGCAAAAUACCCUGCAGCUAAUCCAUCCACCAAAAAAGCAGUAAUACCAGAAACACACAGGAAAGAAAAAAUGGUGGAUACUGCCAAAACAGCAAAGAAAGAAUCAAAAGUACAUGCAUCUGUGGAAACUCUGAAGUCAAAAGUACCUGAAAAGAAGGAAGAAAAAGCAAUGAAGGCAGGAGAGCAAGAUAAACCAAAGAUGAAACAAGCAAAUCCUGGAAAAGACAAAGAAUUGAAAUCUCCAGCUGCUACAAAAGAUAAAGAACACACUAAAGAAAAGGAAGGAAAGAAUCCUGCAGAUUUAAAAGAUAAAGAGUCUCUGAAAGGAAAAAAUCCCAAGAAUCCAGAGGGGUCAAAGGAUAAAGAGACUGGUAAAAGAAAAGAUGUGAGGCCUUCAGCAGUCUUAAAGGAAAAGGGAAAAGAAAUGAAGGUUUCAACUACAACUAAGGAGAAAGCUGCGGUGAAAAAGGAAGGGGAGAAGAAAGGUACUUCAGAAAAAACUCAUGAACACAAGCAUGAAACGAUCAGGCAUGAAAAGGAUGUUCCAACUACAAAACCAGUCAAACUGAAAACAACUGCAAAGCCAACAGGUGAAAUUCCAAUAACAGGUAAAUAUCAAAAUUCUCUGCUAUGUCUUGUGGAAAUAUUUAAUGAACAUACCAGUACUGAAGAACACAUAACAUUCAUCAGCAAUGUACUAUGCCGAUGUAAACCAGAGCAGGUAAACUAA